rnacentral:rRNA from 1 species
GAUGAACGCUGGCGGCGUGCUUAACACAUGCAAGUCGAACGGAAAGGCUCCUGCUUGCAGGGGUACUCGAGUGGCGAACGGGUGAGUAACACGUGGGUGAUCUGCCCUGCACUUCGGGAUAAGCCUGGGAAACUGGGUCUAAUACCGGAUAGGACGAUGGUUUCGAUGCCAUUGUGGAAAGUUUUUCGGUGUGGGAUGAGCUCGCGGCCUAUCAGCUUGUUGGUGGGGUAAUGGCCUACCAAGGCGUCGACGGGUAGCCGGCCUGAGAGGGUGUACGGCCACAUUGGGACUGAGGGACGGCCCAGACUCCUACGGGAGGCAGCAGUGGGGAAUAUUGCACAAUGAGCGCAAGCCUGAUGCAGCGACGCCGCGUGGGGGAUGACGGCCUUCGGGUUGUAAACUCCUUUCGCUAGGGACGAAGCGAAAGUGACGGUACCUGGAGAAGAAGCACCGGCUAACUACGUG